AAAGCAACAUUUAGGUGAAACAUCUGCAGUUCUAGGCAUUGUGAAGGCAGCUGUAGUGAGAAAUAUGAAUAUGUUCAUAAUUGUCAUUCAGGGAAGGCAGACAAUCUUUAAUUUAUUAAUUCCACUGAAGAUUUCAGGGUCACGGUUUCCGAAACCUGCUUUCUGGAAACACACCUGCAGGCAGCCUCACCUGGGAGCAGUGCAGAGGUGGACCUGCUUCAGGUGGACUUCUGGGCCCAGGCUGCCAGGGAGCUGCUGGUUCUGGUCAUUGAGGGUUUUCUAGAAGAUGUUACUCUACCUCAUGUCUACAAGUCUUCAGCAGAGAGUAGCUUUAUCUCCUGGGAACGUCCUCUUAGACCACCAAGGAUGGAGAACAGGACAAGAGAAGGAGGACCAAAGGGGGAACCUCUCCAUCAUCAUGAAGAACCUUCAGCAGGAGGACAUGUUUCAUUGUACCAUCCCCAGAGAAGAUGUUCAGAGAACAGGCUGAAGGCGUCAGUCAACCAAGAUGGAGAACCUCUGAGUCCUCCUCUACCAGGAGGAGCAGCAGGAGGACCAAGCCUCAGUCUGCUGAUCUGCUGCCAGAAGCUUCUAGAAGCUGUAGGUUCUGGUGCUGCUGGUGUCUCUUUGUGUUCAGCUGGUUAGUGAAGGUACUGAAGGACAGGAUAGAGGUUGAAGAAUGGAGAAGAGGUUUCUAACUAGUGCUGCAUUAAAAGACUCCAGAAAUAAUCAAGAAGCUCUAGAGAGCUUAAACCGUCAGUCAGUUUUAGCAGAACCCUUAAACGCACCUAUGGCUUUGCACUGCAGCAGUAUAUCAACUUACCCACAAUGCUAAAGGACGGAUUUUGGACUUCAUUUGUUCUCCAGGUGUUACACCUGCUGCUGUAACCACAGUUCUCAAGGAACCUGGUUCAGACCCCAAUAACUUUAUAAUUUUCCACCAAUCUCUAACCUUUAAUUUGUUUCCAAAAUUCUUGAAACAGUUGCUGCUUAACUCCAUGCCCAUCUUUCCUAUGUUAAUUUCUAUCAACAAUCAAAGACUGGUUUCUGUCCUCUUCACAGUAGUGAAACAGCGCCUAUCAAAGUCACUAAUGAUCUUCUCCUGGCUGCUGACUCUGGUUACUAUCCAUUCUCCUUCUGCUUGAUCUGACCGCAGCCUUUGACACAAUCUCCCACACCUUCCUUCUCCACAUACUUUCCUCUCUCUUAGUACACCCCCUAGUGGCAGCUCCACACCACCAGGGGUGCGUGCACCACACUUUGGGAAUCCCUGGUCUAAGUAAACCCCUACCUAGUUUCAUUCAUACCUUUCAGGCCACAUUCAGUUAAAAUCAUUCACUUCCUGUCCAGUCCCUGUCAGGGCUCUGUCCAUGGUCCCUGUUGUACUUUAUUUACAGUCUCCCCCUUGGUCAUAUUUUCUACAACAUAAUAUGCACUUUCACAGCUAUGCGGAUGACACCCAGAUUAUAGUCUAUAUUAUUGUAACUCUUCUCUUUGGUCUUCCACCUAAACCCUUGAUAAAUUACAGCUGGUCUAAAACUCAGUAUCAACACACGAAGCCCUUCAGUCCAUCACAUCACAGCUGCUCUGCAGCAGCUUCAUUGGCUCCCACUCACACAUCGUAUCAACCAGUGGCGGCUGGCCCAUAGGGGGCGCUCGGGCGCUACCCUCCCCAGAUGU